rnacentral:rRNA from 2 species
GACGAACGCUGGCGGCGUGCCUAAUACAUGCAAGUCGAACGAACUCUGGUAUUGAUUGGUGCUUGCAUCAUGAUUUACAUUUGAGUGAGUGGCGAACUGGUGAGUAACACGUGGGGAACCUGCCCAGAAGCGGGGGAUAACACCUGGAAACAGAUGCUAAUACCGCAUAACAACUUGGACCGCAUGGUCCGAGCUUGAAAGAUGGCUUCAGCUAUCACUUUUGGAUGGUCCCGCGGCGUAUUAGCUAGAUGGUGGGGUAACGGCUCACCAUGGCAAUGAUACGUAGCCGACCUGAGAGGGUAAUCGGCCACAUUGGGACUGAGACACGGCCCAAACUCCUACGGGAGGCAGCAGUAGGGAAUCUUCCACAAUGGACGAAAGUCUGAUGGAGCAACGCCGCGUGAGUGAAGAAGGGUUUCGGCUCGUAAAACUCUGUUGUUAAAGAAGAACAUAUCUGAGAGUAACUGUUCAGGUAUUGACGGUAUUUAACCAGAAAGCCACGGCUAACUACGUGCCAGCAGCCGCGGUAAUACGUAGGUGGCAAGCGUUGUCCGGAUUUAUUGGGCGUAAAGCGAGCGCAGGCGGUUUUUUAAGUCUGAUGUGAAAGCCUUCGGCUCAACCGAAGAAGUGCAUCGGAAACUGGGAAACUUGAGUGCAGAAGAGGACAGUGGAACUCCAUGUGUAGCGGUGAAUGCGUAGAUAUAUGGAAGAACACCAGUGGCGAAGGCGGCUGUCUGGUCUGUAACUGACGCUGAGGCUCGAAAGUAUGGGUAGCAAACAGGAUUAGAUACCCUGGUAGUCCAUACCGUAAACGAUGAAUGCUAAGUGUUGGAGGGUUUCCGCCCUUCAGUGCUGCAGCUAACGCAUUAAGCAUUCCGCCUGGGGAGUACGGCCGCAAGGCUGAAACUCAAAGGAAUUGACGGGGGCCCGCACAAGCGGUGGAGCAUGUGGUUUAAUUCGAAGCUACGCGAAGAACCUUACCAGGUCUUGACAUACUAUGCAAAUCUAAGAGAUUAGACGUUCCCUUCGGGGACAUGGAUACAGGUGGUGCAUGGUUGUCGUCAGCUCGUGUCGUGAGAUGUUGGGUUAAGUCCCGCAACGAGCGCAACCCUUAUUAUCAGUUGCCAGCAUUAAGUUGGGCACUCUGGUGAGACUGCCGGUGACAAACCGGAGGAAGGUGGGGAUGACGUCAAAUCAUCAUGCCCCUUAUGACCUGGGCUACACACGUGCUACAAUGGAUGGUACAACGAGUUGCGAACUCGCGAGAGUAAGCUAAUCUCUUAAAGCCAUUCUCAGUUCGGAUUGUAGGCUGCAACUCGCCUACAUGAAGUCGGAAUCGCUAGUAAUCGCGGAUCAGCAUGCCGCGGUGAAUACGUUCCCGGGCCUUGUACACACCGCCCGUCACACCAUGAGAGUUUGUAACACCCAAAGUCGGUGGGGUAACCUUUUAGGAACCAGCCGCCUAAGGUGGGACAGAUGAUUAGGGUG